CCUCUGGCUCCGCCGACCGACUGUCCCACUGCCAAACUCCUAAUUCGUACUUCCGCUACCGCCAUCUCUGCUAGCUCCACCUCCACCACUUCCGCUAGCUCCUCAGCAACCUCCAAGUUUUCUCUGCUGACUGUCCUCAGUCCUAACUCUGUCGCAAGUGCAGCUCCAAUGAGCGGGGGCACUCGGGUCCCUUACCUGAGAAUCGAAAACACCAGAUUCAUCCCAGUAUGCACGGAGCCAGAAAGGCAACCCUCUUGAAACCAUGGGAAGUCCCAAACUCCCAAUUCCCCGUUACUGCCAUAUCUGCUUCUACUAGCUCCAUCUCCAGUUUCUCCACCGCUUCCACCAGCUCCACAUAGGCAACCCAACCAGCUUUCGGAACCCAACCACUUCAACGAGGCUGACUGACGAACCCAACCAGCUUCUCAGUGAAUUCCUAUCUCCGGAUUUUUUCUAAGCUUUUCCAGCGAGCAAGUGCGCAACCCACCGAGCUUUUCCUAGAUUUUUGCAGAAAUUGAAGGAUAGACAAGAGAUUGUGUUGCCUAUUUCUUGACUUCGGAGAUGUUUGAGGAAUUUUCUGGAGUUGGAGUUGGUGGACUAAUUCUCGCUUCAUGUCAUGCCUUGGUUCUUGUGGACAACAAGCUGCUUUUAAUUUGUAUUAGUGGAUAUUUGUGGAAAUUUGGAUAAUUUGUAUUAGUGGGCAUCUGGAUAUUUUUGGAUGAUUUGUAUUAGUGGAUAUUUGGACAUUUAUGAUUGUAUUAGUGCAUAAUUUGUAGGCCUCAAGAUCAAGAAUAUGUGAAAAAUUGUUAUUA